rnacentral:rRNA from 1 species
CAGCCGCCACGGUAAUACGGAGGGGGCUAGCGUUGUUCGGAAUUACUGGGCGUAAAGCGUACGUAGGCGGCUUUGUAAGUUAGAGGUGAAAGCCUGGUGCUCAACACCAGAACUGCCUUUAAGACUGCAUCGCUUGAACGUCGGAGAGGUGAGUGGAAUUCCGAGUGUAGAGGUGAAAUUCGUAGAUAUUCGGAAGAACACCAGUGGCGAAGGCGGCUCACUGGACGACUGUUGACGCUGAGGUACGAAAGCGUGGGGAGCAAACAGGAUUAGAUACCCCGGUAGUCCCUGUCUCUUAUAC